UGACUNGAGUGCAGAAGGGGAGAGUGGAAUNCCAUGUGUAGCGGUGAAAUGCGUAGAUAUAUGGAGGAACACCAGUGGCGAAAGCGGCUCUCUGGUCUGUCACUGACGCUGAGGCUNGAAAGCGUGGGUAGCGAACAGGAUUAGAUACCCUGGUAGUNCACGCCGUAAACGAUGAGUGCUAGGUGUUAGGCCCUUUCCGGGGCUUAGUGCCGGAGCUAACGCAAUAAGCACUCCGCCUGGGGAGUACGACCGCAAGGUUGAAACUCAAAGGAAUUGACGGGGGCCCGCACAAGCGGUGGAGCAUGUGGUUUAAUUCGAAGCAACGCGAAGAACCUUACCAGGUCUUGACAUCCCGAUGCUAUUCUUAGAGAUAGGAAGUUACUUCGGUACAUCGGAGACAGGUGGUGCAUGGUUGUCGUCAGCUCGUGUCGUGAGAUGUUGGGUUAAGUCCCGCAACGAGCGCAACCCUUAUUGUUAGUUGCCAUCAUUAAGUUGGGCACUCUAGCGAGACUGCCGGUAAUAAACCGGAGGAAGGUGGGGAUGACGUCAAAUCAUCAUGCCCCUUAUGACCUGGGCUACACACGUGCUACAAUGGUCGGUACAACGAGUUGCGAGCCGGUGACGGCAAGCUAAUCUCUGAAAGCCGAUCUCAGUUCGGAUUGGAGGCUGCAACUCGCCUCCAUGAAGUCGGAAUCGCUAGUAAUCGCGGAUCAGCACGCCGCGGUGAAUACGUUCCCGGGCCUUGUACACACCGCCCGUCACACCACGAGAGUUUGUAACACCCGAAGUC
rnacentral:rRNA from 1 species